UGCCGGCAUGCUUAAUACAUGCAAGUCGCACGGCCCGGGGGUAACUCCCGGCAGUGGCGGACGGGUGAGUAACGCGUAGGAAUCUAUCCACGGGUGGGGGAUAACGCCGGGAAACUGGUGCUAAUACCGCAUGAUACCUGAGGGUCAAAGGCGCAAGUCGCCUGUGGAGGAGCCUGCGUCCGAUUAGCUUGUUGGUGGGGUAACGGCCUACCAAGGCGAUGAUCGGUAGCUGGUCUGAGAGGAUGAUCAGCCACACUGGGACUGAGACACGGCCCAGACUCCUACGGGAGGCAGCAGUAGGGAAUAUUGGACAAUGGGCGAAAGCCUGAUCCAGCAAUGCCGCGUGGAUGAAGAAGGUCUUCGGAUUGUAAAGUCCUUUCGGCGGGGACGAUGAUGACGGUACCCGCAGAAGAAGCCCCGGCU
rnacentral:rRNA from 1 species